AAUUAACCCAGAUCUGCGCUCCACCUGAGAUGCAGUGGGCGUAUCCUCAGAGCCCUACUUGGCAGGAGGUUGCAGCCAGGCCUGUUGUUUGUGGCUUGAGAAAAGGGCAGCACCUUGUAAAAUAGCUGGAGAUUAUGUACAGAAAAAUAUUUGCCUGCUGGGCGUUCUGGACAGCUCGUGCUAACAGCAGCACUUAUUCUGCCAAUUUACAUUUGCAUUCUACGGGAACAUUUUUUAAAGAAACUUCUGAAAAUGGAGGCAUUUAUGUUUCAAUUUGCACAGAGAAGUUCAGACCUUGCCCAAACUUAAAUGCUGUGUGGCCAAGUACUGCUGUGAACUGCGACACGGUGGUCUUAUACAGAGAAGACGGAAGCAAGAUGUUGAGACCUCUUAAAACUCAUUUUGUGAGUCACAGACCUUCAAUUUCUAAGGGGCAGUCACCCCUUUAUUAUUGCACUGCAUAAUUGUUUCAUGUCCAGGCUUAAAAGUUCUUUAAAUAUGAUGCAAUGAAGUGUAUUUUAAACUAUUAGAUCUAGGAGAAUUUUGUGUGAAGUGCUUCGGUUCUGUGAACACAUACUGUAACUCAGUUCUGCUUGAAAGCAUGUUAGCAAUGACUUAUUCAUAAAUUACUUAUGUUGGAAUGUUAAUGGUUGUCUUAAUUAGCAGGCUGACUUUUUAAUUUUAAGGUUGCUUAAAUAUUUAUAUCUCAAUCACACACACUGUAUGGUUUCAGAUAAUUACAAAUACCCUUGAGGCGGGAUACAAUUAAAAUUUGGACUAACGUUGAAGGCUAUUUACAAG
rnacentral:lncRNA from 1 species